UAUGGCAUAUUAUCAUAUAUGAACUUAAUAUUAGCACAGUACAAAUAUAAAAUUUAAAGGAAAAAUUGUCAAAUACAACCCAACAAACUUAACACUUUACGAAUUAUAGACCUAAACUUUAUACCCCACUUUAAAUUACAACCCCGAUUCACUUUCCAUCGAAAACAACCGGAAAGUGAUGUCAUUUAACAAUUAUAAAUAAUUUUCAAGAAAAAAACAUUUGCCUGUAAUUUCCCCCAAUUACACAACAAUGGUUCAUCAUCAUCAAACAUGACGCAUUAUCAUAAAGAAAAAUUCCCAGUAAUUUUCCCCAAUUAUACAACAAGGGAUCAUCAUUAUCAAACAUCACGUCAUCACGCAUCAUCAAAACUUGGUCUUUGAAAGAUGCAGGGGCACGAAACGCCGGAGGAGGAGAAGGAAGAGGGGUAAGUUGGGUUGGGCGGAGGUGGUUUCAUUCUGGGCGUUGGCGGAACUGAGUGGUUCGCGGCGAAGGAGGAGAAGAGGAUGGUCGGUUGUGGCGGGGCCAUGGGUGGGAUAGUGGUGGUGGUAGAGGAGGCGAAGGCCGUAAGGUUGUCUGUUGUUGCUGAUGAUUUUGUUAAUGGUGGAUUUAGUGAUGGUGAUUGUAAUGAUGAAUAACAAAUGAUAAUAACGACUUUGAUGAUGAUGAUGAUGAUGAUGAUGAGAACUUAGAACGGAGUGAAGUGAAUGAACUGCAAGAGUUUUGAUGAUAACGAUAAGUAGCUGUUGGUCACGGUUGACUAUAAAAGCCCCUUUGCUGAAUGGUUCUUGAAAUUUGUCAUUCGAAGCUCUGAUACAACACUCAAUCCACAAAGGUUGUACUACAAGUGUGAUCCUUGAAACAAUCUGAGAUGGUGAAAGGGAGUAGUUGAGCAAAAAAACAAGGGGCAACAACACGAAGGACAAUGCGGGGGAAGCUUAGACGAAGGAGAAAGUAUUGAAAACAGGCGAAACAGUAAGAUGCAAGAAGAAUUGAAGCAAAUGAAGAAGAAGCUAAAACAACAACAAAAAGUAGUCAAAGUUGUAAUACAAAUGGGGAUAUUGAUGUUUGUAAUUUUACUGUUUGUAAUCAUGAAGUAAACACAAGUAAUGAGAAACAAAUUCACAUUUCAUAAAUAA